ACACGAACCGGACAAACGUUAUUCGGAAUUAUUGGGCUUAAAGGGUGCGUAGGCGGCGCGGUAAGUGAGGUGUGAAAGCCCACGACUCAAUCGUGGAAUUGCGCUUCAUACUGCCGUGCUAGAGGGAGACAGAGGUAAGCGGAACUGAUGGUGGAGCGGUGAAAUGCGUUGAUAUUAUCAGGAACACCGGUGGCGAAGGCGGCUUACUGGGUCUCUUCUGACGCUGAGGCACGAAAGCUAGGGUAGCGAACGGGAUUAGAAACCCCGGUAGUCC
rnacentral:rRNA from 1 species